rnacentral:rRNA from 1 species
GACGAACGCUGGCGGCGUGCUUAACACAUGCAAGUCGAACGGAAAGGCCCUGCUUUUGUGGGGUGCUCGAGUGGCGAACGGGUGAGUAACACGUGAGUAACCUGCCCUUGACUUUGGGAUAACCUCAGGAAACUGGGGCUAAUACCGGAUAGGAGCUCCUGCUGCAUGGUGGGGGUUGGAAAGUUUCGGCGGUUGGGGAUGGACUCGCGGCUUAUCAGCUUGUUGGUGGGGUAGUGGCUUACCAAGGCUUUGACGGGUAGCCGGCCUGAGAGGGUCACCGGCCACAUUGGGACUGAAAUGCGACACAGACUCCUACGGGAGGCAGCGGUGGGGAAUAGUGCACAAUGGGCGGAAGCCUGGUGCAGCAACGCCGCGUGCGGGAUGACGGCCUUCGGGUUGUAAUGCGCUUUCGCCUGUGACGAAGCGUUAGUGACGGUAAUGGGUAAAGAAGCACCGGCUAACUACGUG